UACGAAGGGUGCAAGCGUUACUCGGAAUUACUGGGCGUAAAGCGUGCGUAGGUGGUUUGUUAAGUCUGAUGUGAAAGCCCUGGGCUCAACCUGGGAAUGGCAUUGGAUACUGGCAGGCUAGAGUGCGGUAGAGGGUAGUGGAAUUCCCGGUGUAGCAGUGAAAUGCGUAGAGAUCGGGAGGAACAUCUGUGGCGAAGGCGACUACCUGGACCAGCACUGACACUGAGGCACGAAAGCGUGGGGAGCAAAC
rnacentral:rRNA from 1 species